GACGAACGCUGGCGGCGUGCUUAACACAUGCAAGUCGAACGAAGAGCGAUGGAAGCUUGCUUCUCUCAAUCUUAGUGGCGAACGGGUGAGUAACGCGUAAUCAACCUGCCCUUCAGAGGGGGACAACAGUUGGAAACGACUGCUAAUACCGCAUACGAUCUAAUCUCGGCAUCUAGGAUAGAUGAAAGGUGGCCUCUACAUGUAAGCUAUCACUGAAGGAGGGGAUUGCGUCUGAUUAGCUAGUUGGAGGGGUAACGGCCCACCAAGGCGAUGAUCAGUAGCCGGUCUGAGAGGAUGAACGGCCACAUUGGGACUGAGACACGGCCCAGACUCCUACGGGAGGCAGCAGUGGGGAAUCUUCCGCAAUGGACGAAAGUCUGACGGAGCAACGCCGCGUGAGUGAUGACGGCCUUCGGGUUGUAAAGCUCUGUUAAUCGGGACGAAAGGCCUUCUUGCGAAUAGUGAGAAGGAUUGACGGUACCGGAAUAGAAAGCCACGGCUAACUACGUG
rnacentral:rRNA from 1 species